UAUUUUUUGUCGUUUUUAUUUCUUAGUUCUGUACACAGCAUGGCUUAACAAUCAUUAAAGCAUCAGUCGUCUGCUUUUCUGUGCAAAAAGACUAACAAAUGCAUCCAUAUCUAGGCCUGUGGUUAUGGCCUUCUCGUGAGCCAGAAUAACUAAAUUUCUUUUUCUUUCAUGUAGCAUAGUGCGGCGGAAGGGAGUAAGAACACGAGACAAAGUGGAGAAAGAGCUCUCGCAUGAUGCAGAUGAUAUUCCAAUCACAAGGGCGGUCACAUACAUGCGAUGGAGCUGAGGAAAGGCAUUCUUAUAACCGUGUAGAUAUUUGCAAACGAGGACUUAACAUGGCAACAUCCAGAAAAGAGGGAGAUUGAGGUUGAAGGCAAUUAACUGCUUUCAUGAGAUCAAGAUUACUUUUGGAGAAUCUUGUCUCCAUCUCUACAAUGGCUAUGUCCAAAAUGUUGAGAAGAGCUCUCUUCAGAGCCUGGCAAGGAGUCAUGGAGUCGUCUGCAUGGCCUACAGUGGACAUAGUGACACUAUCUGUGAGCAGUGAGCUCAUUGUUCUCUUUCUUUUAGCACCUGGUGCAGGCAUGCUGGUUAAUGCCUCGCUCUCCUCAUCUCUCAUCUGCUUCAAAGCCCGUAGAGAUGCACUGACUACUUCUGAAGCACAGCACAGGUCAACAGAAUGAGCCUGCAGCAUAACAUUUGCAGACGUCAACGAACCCAGAACUUUUAGGAGAAAUUUUCCUAUUUCAAAGAAAUUAUGCCUCCUUAACAUUAUCAAUAACCCUGAUGCUUCUGUACAGAUAUCAAUAGCAGCGGCUCUGUCCUCUGUAACUUCUGACAGGAUACUCAUAAUAGCAUCCUGAUUCUCCACAAGGCACUUGGUCACAUCAUGAUGGCUUGUCCACCUGAUCUCCAACAGUCGUUUAAGGGAGGGAACAUUAUAGUUCUGUGACACAUAAUGACGGUGAAAAAAUGAGUGCAGUGAUCCUGAUAGAUCAAAAAAGGUUUUUGCACAUGGCUCUGCUUGCAUUGCAUGGACCACUGCCAAGUGCAGCUGGUGGUUAUAGCAGUGGAUAUAAGGAAUAUCCUUUCCUACCUUCUUUUGCAAUAAGGCCUGAACCCCACCCCUGACUCCACUCAUGACAGCAGCUCCAUCAUAGCACUGACUGAUAAUUUCAGCUGCUCUAUAGCCUGAGUCAGAAAGAUGCUCAAGAAUUUGGGUGGUAAUAAAUUCAGCAUUUAACUGACUGAGGUCAAGCAGACCAAUCAGGUGUUCCUCUGGAAUGCCUUUAGAGACAAAUCUAACCAUGACGGACAGAUUCUCCACAUUGCAUCUGUCCCUAGUUCCAUCACUUUUAAUGCAAAACCCAGCGUAAUCUGCGUUGUCAUAAUUAUCUUUGAUCUUUUUCAAUACCAUUUUGGCCAGAGUAUCAAUAAUUUCAUUUUGUAUGUUGUGAGAGGUGUAUUUUGCAUUUAGUGGGAUAUGUUUGUUUAUUUCAUUAAAUUUGGGGUCCUUUGCUAGUGUGUAGUCAACCAUUUUUAAGAACAGUCCUGCAGAGAAAUCAUCUUCAUUUGAGCUCUCCACACUGCCACGAAGUGGAAGUUCAUUUACUGCUAGGAACUGAACUACUUCUCCAAUUGUUUUUAUAUAAUAUCUAUUUUUUUCCAUUUGUGUUGGCCCUAAUAAAUUACCAAUAGUU